rnacentral:rRNA from 1 species
GGAAUUUUCUGCAAUGGGCGAAAGCCUGACAGAGCAAUACCGCGUGAGGGAUGACGGCCUGUGGGUUGUAAACCUCUUUUCUCAAGAAAGAAGCUCUGACGUUACUUGAGGAAUAAGCAUCGGCUAACCCUGUGCCAGCAGCCGCGGUAAUACAGAGGAUGCAAGUGUUAUUCGGAAUUAUUGGGCGUAAAGCGUCUGUAGGUGGGUAAUUAAGUCUUUUGUUAAAUCUUUGGGCUUAACCUAAAGCGUGCAAAAGAAACUGCUUGCCUAGAGUCUGUUAAAGGUAAAGGGAAUUUCCAGUGGAGCGGUGAAAUGCGUAGAUAUUGGAAGGAACACCGAAGGCGAAAGCACUUUACUAGGUCUGUACUGACACUGAGAGACGAAAGCUAGGGGAGCAAAC